rnacentral:rRNA from 1 species
ACGAACGUUGGCGGGAUGUUUUAAGCAUGCAAGUCGAGCGGCAGCAUGGGUGCUUGCACCUGAUGGCGAGCGGCGAACUGGUGAGUAACGCGUAGGUUAUCUACCUAAGAGACUGGGAUAGCUACUGGAAACAGUGAUUAAUACCGGAUAUGCCAUGUAUUUGGUUUAUAUGGUGAAAGCAGCGUUUGCUGCACUCUUAGAUGAGCCUGCGUCCCAUUAGCUUGUUGGUGGGGUAAAAGCCUACCAAGGCAACGAUGGGUAGCCGGCCUGAGAGGGUGAUCGGCCACAUCGGGACUGAGAUACGGCCCGG